UACGUAGGGGGCAAGCGUUGUUCGGAAUUACUGGGCGUAAAGCGAGUGUAGGCGGUUUGGUAAGUCGGAUGUGAAAGCCCCGGGCUCAACCCGGGAAGUGCACUCGAUACUGCCAAGCUAGAGUAUCGGAGAGGUUGGUGGAAUUCUCGGUGUAGAGGUGAAAUUCGUAGAUAUCGAGAGGAACACCGGUGGCGAAGGCGGCCAACUGGACGAAUACUGACGCUGAGGAGCGAAAGCGUGGGGAGCGAACAGG
rnacentral:rRNA from 1 species